rnacentral:rRNA from 1 species
UACCGCGGUUAUACGAGAGACCCAAGUUGAUAGGCACCGGCGUAAAGAGUGGUUAAGGAAAAAACAGACUAAAGCCGAACGCCUACAGGGCUGUUAUACGCAUCCGAAGGUAAGAAGCACAAUCACGAAAGUAGCUUUACUACCCCUGAACCCACGAAAGCCAAGGCA